UACCUGAAAUAAAGUAGUACAACGAUUAACGCGCGAGGCUUCUUCUUAUAUCCGUAUAAAAAUAAUUUAUCAAACUUGGAUAAAAAAAAAACAUAUUAGUAUUCUUCAACAUCUGGUACGGAAUACAUUUUAACAUUUUAAAAUGUCAACAUUUUUUGCAAUUAAAAAAAUCUAUAAAAAAAACGCAACACGAUAGGUUAUGUAUAUAAUUUAAUUCCAAUAAAUCUCACUGUGUACGAUAUCGCGUAAGAUUUCUCUCUCGCUGUGGAAUAUUUCAAUGAUAUAUUUGCGAUAAGUAACCGCGUAAAUCGUAAAACGAUCGGGAUUACCAGACAUAAAAGCUCUGUUGGGACUCGUGUUUCGAAAAUAGAUCGGAAUAAAAUAGAAAUUGAAUGAUGCACAGACGGGCGGCGCGCAAGCAAAAGAAUCAUUCAGAUAACGCGACGAACAUCGCGGGGAAUCCGGAGCAAUAUUCCAAUUUUUUUUUUUCGCAAGUUAUCCGUAACGUCUUUGUUCUCUCGUAGAGAUUUUCAGCCAAAUGACAGCCGAGGGAAAAGGAAGAGUUCCGGCCGACGCGACGCGGUGCACGCUUCGGCGAGCUUCUUCCUCGCCGUGUUCGCUCAUUGGACAACGACGCUCGCGCGCAACGAAAUUCAGCAGAAAACCGUCCGCACCGGUCCGCGCGAAUCCCCAUUUUUUGUUACUAUAGAGAGAAAGAGAGAGAGAGAGAGAGAGAGACCGACCGAAAGAGCGACAGGAGAGAAAGAGAGAGAGGAAGAGCGUGCCGCGCGCGCUCUGACCGCGCAAAAUAAUCCAAAAUAAGUCACCGACAUCGAUCGGGGGCGGCCAGAAAGAAGGAGAAGUCAGCCACGCGGUAUAACGUGUGUGUGUGUGUGUGUGUGUGUGUGUGUGUGUGUGUGUGUGUGUUUUGCACUGCACCACGCUACCACGCGCUUGUAAGCGCGUUGGAUGUGCACGUUGAUGUGUUUUCCACCACCCACCCUCUAAACGGUGCCCCCGCACCCUCUCCUUGUCUCUUCGUACCCUCUCGACGAACCUUACUACGAGUCUCUCUCUCUCUCUCUCUCUCUCUCUCUCUCUCUCUCUCUCUCUCUUCCUUUCUUCCUUUCGUCCUGUCCCGCUUUUGUAUUUCGUUUAUCAGGCUUAACAUGCGACUUUGCCCACCACUUUGCCCGGCGGGAGGCGUUUGUACCGCGAAUAAGGAUUACGACGAAAAUAAAUGGUUGCUAAUCAUACGAGAUAAGGCUCGCGUCACAACGGCGAUCGCACUUUAAUUAGCAUCGUAAUAAUAUGCGGCUCACGCAUAUAAGCAAAGGAGAAAUAAGUAUGCGAUAUAACAAAUAUGUAUAAAAGCAAAAUUUUCUCAUUUCGCUGAGGAAUUAAAAGUGUAAGACCAUUUUGUACAUUUCAUUACGCAUUAGUCAUAACGCAACAAUACUCUUAUUACGAUUUUGAAAAGAACUAAGCAUUUUUCAACUUUUGCAAGUUUUUUAAAUUAAACAAAAAAAAAGAAAAUAUAAAUUUGGAGAGAGUUAAUUAUCGAAAUGCGUUUCGUUAGUCGCGCAUGUAUUACAAAAUGAAGUCGGCGGCCCGUUUAUUCUCCCGUUACCGCGACUCACAUAAUCUGUUUCAAUGAAAUUGGCGUUAAAGAAUGCAAGGGUGGCUGUUUCGAAAGCACGCACAAGGGGAAAAGGGGAGGGGAAAGGGGCUUUGUACCGGCUGUUAAAAGCGGAUCCCGCUUUUACCUCGUAAUCGUAACGUGGUCCCUCUCCCGCCGCCACCGCCACCGUCAUUCGCCCGCGAGCAUCGAAACGAGUAAUCGUACUAUUUCGUGGAGAGCACGGCCGGUCAAAGUACGUAAUUCGCUUACUCGCCACCGACCCGGGGCCGACACACCGGAGAGAACGAGUGUGCAUUAAAAAUUAACGAACUGUAAAGCGGCGUACCGUCGCGCCGCGCCGAGUUUGAGCGAGCAUGAGCGAUGCGCGCGCGCGCGAGGGAGAAAACGGAAAAAAAAAAAAAAAAAAAAAGCCGAGGGAGAAAAGGAAGGCCGCGAGGAAUCGCCGACGAAAUCUACCACUAUCCAGCCUUAUCGCGAGUCAAAUAAAACGAUAAUCGGUCGGCGAUCGCAAAGGUUUCCUCGUCAGCGUCGCGUCGUGCCGUUCGUUUUUUCCUUCCGACCGACGACAACGACGACGACGACGACGACGACGACGACGUCGAGUCUGGCGAUUGCAUGCGCGCGAACAAGAUCAGCCGCAUGUAAAUUUGAUGAUCGCGGAUGAAAAACGAGCACCCGGCGCGGCAUGGCGCGGCGCGAAGAGUGACAAAUACGCCAGUCACCAUCUGUCUUGGCCCGAUAGAAUUAACGCCGGGGCACACCUCUGGGAAAUCUAGCCCGGCAAGUCGGGCAGAAGGAGGGAGAGAUGGUUCGGGGCGUCUAACGCAGACGUAAAUUACGCGGUUCCUUAAAAGACACAGCAUAAAUCACGCUAACGGGGCAUCAAUCCCGAGCGCGGGGACGCGGGCGGGCGUGCGCGUGCGAACGCGCAAAAAGUCGCCGCGCGCGCGGAACGAACUAUACGUUACAAUUAAACCCGUGGAGAGAGAAUCCCGGGGAUAGUCCCCGGCAAUUAAUAAUCCGGCCGGACACUUAAUCACCAUUUACCAUGACAAAUGCGCGGUGAAAUGCAUCCGCGGUCUCCUUCCGCGAGGGGUGACAAGGGGGCAAGCACGCACGCGCGCGACUAUCGUAAGACGGGGGGAAAAAUCGUCGGAUAAAAAUUUUAGGAUCUUCGAUCUGCGCGCCGCUUGCGAAGCUUGGAACCCAUUGGCAUUUCGUAGGUCGGGCGAGCACGCAAAACGCGGAUUCGUCUUUUUCCGCGCCGAUUUUCCGCUUUCACGUGUUCAGGCACGGCACAGUUAUCCUUGACGAAUUCGAGGAGAAGGGGGGAGGAAAAGCAGGGAGGGUGGCACGUGCUACCCCUCACUCCGUGAUUUCGCUCCGAGUGGAGCUCGAGGACGGCCUUACGCGUCACCCCGACGCGCACGUGCGAGCCUCAUGUACGUCACACGCGCGCGCUCGUCGCGUUCGCACACGUGUAAACGGGCGAGAACGUGUGUGCCCUGUGUGCGCCAAGAGAGUACGAGAGGGGUACGAGUGCGGUAUAUAGGGCGGGGGAAAGCCCCGUGGAGGGCGGAUCGAUAUUAAAAUAGUGACCGAAUUCCGGCGUGCCGCAACCUACCCUACGCUCUUCGGCUCGCCCUUAAACUAUCCUGCCGCGUUCUCCUCCUCCGUGCGUUCUACCCUUCCCCUCCCGCCCUUCGUUGCUCCUUGAAACCGCGUUCCCGUUUUACGCCCCCUUUCCGGACUCUUCUCCGAGACGUGCGGGCGCGCGCACGCCCUCCGGCAGUUACAGGCUCCGGCAAACUUUUUCCACCACACGGCGAGGAGGAAAACACCGUCGUAAACCAUCGGCCGAAAUUUCCAGUCGUGGCGCAAAGCCCGCGCCGAAGGAUAAUAACCGGCGGCAGCGAAGACGUGCGACGUAAAAAACACACAUGGCGGACUCUCGUGAGGAUCUUCGGCGGGCAUAUAUAUCCCUCAAUAUUGGUCCUCGGGCUAUUUCUCGUCAUCAAAUUUAAGCGUUUCUCCAAAACGCGAUCGUCUCCGUUUCUGUUCCGCGUGUGAAUAUUUGAACCUACGAAACUACCUGCAUUUGCACAGCCAUUCCGUGCAAACUGCGAGUGUCGGGGAGUGCCGAAUCGAGAAACGGACAAUCGUUUCGAGGACACGAAUGGUGUGAUCGCGAUUAACGCGGUCUUCCGACGUUCCAAGACGGCGAGGUGACAUCUGUCCAUUCACUUAUUGCAUAUGCCGGCCUUUCAGGUUACAUAUACAGCGGAUUAAAAACGGAAAGGAGCCAAACAGAAAAUAGAAACGGAAAAGACAAGUAUGAAAUGCCGCUGCAUAAACUGGUUACAUAUACAGCGGAUUAAAAACGGAAAGGAGCCAAACAGAAAAUAGAAACGGAAAAGACAAGUAUGAAAUGCCGCUGCAUAAACCGGUUACAUAUACAGCGGAUUAAAAACGGAAAGGAGCCAAACAGAAAAUAGAAACGGAAAAGACAAGUAUGAAAUGCCGCUGCAUAAACCGGUUACAUAUACAGCGGAUUAAAAACGAAAAGGAGCCAAACAGAAAAUAGAAACGGAAAA